UAGACCACUGUAGUUGUAAAAUUUGGCUAUAUGCUGGAACGUCCUGUAAGGCUGACAGUACAUUCUCUCGCGUUGAGAGAAUUGUGACAAUCUAUUAGAUAGGGAUAAUCAGCAGGAAAGAUCUGAAAAUGAAUCCAGAAAUUGGUUAUUAUCUUGCCGGUUUUACGGAUGGAGAAGGAAGUUUUAAUAUUUCUUUUCGUCCUCGACAAGAUUACAAAAUUCCUUGGAAAGUUUCUCUGUGUUUUAAUGUCUCUCAGAAAGAUAAAGUUAUUUUAGCUCUAUUUAAACAUCAUCUAGGGUGCGGAACUUUACGUGGGCGUCCAGAUGGUGUUUGGUAUUAUGAGGUAAAUAAUUUUAAUGCUAUUCGAGAAAAGGUUAUUCCUUUUUUUAAAAAGUUUCACUUUCUUUCAGCUAAGAAAAAACGCGAUUUCGCGAAAUUUUGUCAGGCUGUGGAGAUGAUAGAAAAAGGUAAGCACCUAAACUACGAGGGCAUAAAAGAGAUAUUAGAAUUACGCAGGGAAAUGAAUGAUGGAGGGAAUCGUAAAUAUACUGAAAUGUAUAUCCUCCAAAGUUUUCAGAAAUCCUCAGAGACUAUACGCCAAAUCCCUCUUAACAGAGGGAAUGAUAUAGUCCGGUCUUCCGAGAAAUCGGAAGUCAUCGUUGUCAAAAACGAUGAGCCUGGAUGAGAAUUCAACCAGGUUAACAUAAACGAACGGUCCUAAGGUAGCGAAAUUCCUUGUGGGGUAAGUUCCCACGCGCACGAAUGGUGUAACGAAUUGGGCGCUGUCUCAAGGAGAGACUCGGCGAAAUUGUAGUGGCGGUGAAGAUGCCGUCUACCCGCAUCAAGACGAAAAGACCCCGGAACCUUUACUGCAUUCUGGUAUUGAAUUUGGGUGUUGUUUGUGUAGCAUAGGUGGGAGGCUUUGAAGUCCCGGCGUUAGCUGGGAUGGAGCCGUCAGUGAAAUACCACCCUAAUGACUCUUAGGUUCUAACUUCGAUUCCUUUUAUCAGGACGAAAAACAGUGCCAGAUGGGCAGUUUGACUGGGGCGGUUCCCGUUUAAAGAGUAACAACGGGGUCCAAAGGUUCCCUCAAGACGGUUGGCAAUCGUCUGUAGAGUAUAAAGGCAUAAGGGAGCUUAACUGUGAGUCCGACGGGACGAACAGAUACGAAAGUAGGGCUUAGUGAUCCGGUGGUUGAUUAUGGGAUUGCCAUCGCUCAACGGAUAAUAGGUACUCCGGGGAUAACAGGCUGAUAGCGCUCGAGAGUUCAUAUCGACAGCGCUGUUUGGCACCUCGAUGUCGGCUCAUCCUAUCCUGGGGCUGAAUAAGGUCCCAAGGGUCCGGCUGUUCGCCGGUUAAAAGGGUACGCGAGCUGGGUUUAGAACGUCGUGAGACAGUUCGGUCUCUAUCUGGUGUGGGCGCGCGAUACUUGAAGAGGAGCUCUCCUUAGUACGAGAGGACCGGGAGAGACAAACCUCUGGUGUCCCAGUUAUCCUGCCAAGGGUAAUGGCUGGGUAGCCAUGUUUGGAAGAGAUAAACGCUGAAAGCAUAUAAGCGUGAAGCCCCCCUCAAGAUGAAGUAUCGUUUUCCGCCGCAAGGCGGGAUCCAGGCACCUAGUAGACUACUAGGUUGAUAGGCUGCGUGUGUAAGGGCUGUAAGGCCUU
rnacentral:rRNA from 1 species